ensembl:lncRNA
CUCCGAGGCCAUCUCCAGGGAGCAAGUGGCCCCAUGGGCAUCGGCUGUCCUGUGACGGCCAGCCUGGGCUUUCCCCACUGCCAGAUGCCCAGGACUAAGAGUUCAGGUCAGGGAGGACUGCUCCAUGGAGGUGGUUCUCUGUCCAGUCUUUAGAGGGAGGCUCCCGAGGCGGGAGAGAGUGGAAGGGCAUGCCACGUGGAAGGAGGAAGACAGAGGGGGGAGAGGCAACAGGGAAGCCCGAAGAAGCCUUCUCCCCAUCUUCCCCUUCCUCCUCCUCCUUCCUUCUCUUCCUCCUCUUUCUUCUCCUUCCUUCUCUUCCUCCUGCUUCCUCUUCUUCCUGCUUCCUCUUCCUCUUCCUUCCUCCUCCUCCUCUCCCUCCUCCUCUUUCUCUUCUUCCUUCUCCCCCUUCCCCACACUCAGAGCCGGGGAGCCCCCUGGAGCAUAGACCUCUGCUGGGGUGUGGAGGAGCCUCCCAGAGGGGGCAGAGGGGACCCCUGCAAGGCAGGUCUGCCAGGGUGUAGAUCAGGGGUCCCCAAGGAGCACCUCUUCCAUGGGUGGUCAGUGAGAGGAGCACAGGAUGCCCCUGCAUCUGCUGCCCCGUAGAGUGGUGGUGGUGCUGGGCCUGGGCAAGGUGUGGCAGGCCCAUCCCAGCCAGCAGUCCCAGCGGUGGGAGGGACAGUGAACUGGGGAGCCCUGGGGAGCCCUGGGGAGCCCGCCUCUACCCAGCUCUAAGCCCUUUCCAGCUAUGAUGCCAUUUGGUGCUCACAGCAGCCCCGGGAGGAGGAGCUCUUCUUAGCCCCAUUCUACAGCCGGGGAAAUGGAGGCAGCAGAGGGGAAGGGACUUGCCGGCUGCCUUUGAACUCGGGUCUUCCCGGCGGGCCCUUUCCACGGUCUUGGGGGAGGGAGAGGAGGCCCGGGCCCUGUUCUCUUCCGUUCAGUUCCGAGGCCAGGAAUGCGCCCGGGGGCAGCUUGUCGGCCCGGGCCCCGCCCCGGGGGGCAGAGGGAGCCCCGCACUGACGCCCCUUCCCCUCGUGCUGCCCAGGAAGCGGGAGCCGGGUCUGGCAGCGCUGCAACAGCUCCAGGGACACCGUGUGCCAGUGCACCGCCGGGACGCAGCCCGUGGAAGCCUUCAAGCAGGGAGUGGAGUGCUCCCGCUGUCCGCUGGGACACUUUUCCCCGGGAGGAAACACCAAGUGCAAACCGUGGACCAAGUAAGAGGCCUCCGCCGCGCCCGCCUGCUGGGAGGGGCCGGGAGCCCCCGCUCUGCCCCCGCCCGGCGCCUUGAGGGACCCCACACCCCAGGGGGGGGCGGCAGAGGCGGGGGGGGGCCGCUCACGCGCCCGCCUGCACUCCCACUCCUCAGCUGCACCGCCCUGGGCAAACGCACCCUGCGAGCAGGGAGCAGCGAGGCAGACGCGGACUGCGAGGACCUCGACGUGUCCCCGGCUCUCCCGAAGCCCUCCAACGUCCCCCGGGAGCUUCGACCCCCGGCUCCUCUCCCACCAGUGCUCGAGGGGGCGGCACCCAGAGCCUCAGACCGGACCCGAAGCCCAGACCUGACCGAGACCUGUGUAAGCCGCCGUGUCCUCGCCUGGCUCUCCGGGCCCUCCCGCCCGGCUGAGUGUAGUGCACUUUGGCUGUCCCUAGAGCCCCCAGGCGGGAGUCCUCGGUUCGAAUCCUGCCUCUGGAACUCCUCUUUUGGUAAAGCCUCCCCUUCCACCUCAGAAGCAACACUCUAAGCACCGGGCUGCCCCCGAAUCCUCCUUGUAAAGAUGAGGAAAUGAUGGGGGCCGCUGCGGGGCUCGGGAUGGAGCUCAGCUCUAAAGAGGGAGAUCUUGACCCGCCUUGGCCGGAGCCAGGCCUGGGUUCCAGAGUGGCCUUGGAUCCUUCCUAGCCGGGUGACCUUAGGCAAGUCACUUCCCCAUGGCCCAGCCCUUGCCCUUCUGUCUCAGAGUGGUUACUAAGACAGAAAACAAGGGUUAAACAAUCGAGAGCGCACGAAGUGGGUUCUCCGGUUCCCCUUUGCUCCCGCGGCCUCCCGGGCCUUCAGAGGAGCCUGCCUGGAGGGGAAGUUGCGGUCCCUUCCUUCCUUCUGCAGGGAAACCUCCCGGGAGGCCCGGGGGUUGCUGGCCGGCGGCGGGCCCAGAAAGCAGGCCUCAGCCUCCAUCGCGUCCUCUCUCGCCCUCCAGUUCCGUUAUCCGUCAUCUUCCUAGCGGCGCUUGUGCUCUUGGUGUCUGGCUUCAUCUUGCUGCUGCUCAUCGCCUUCUUCUGCAGGAGGGACAAGAGGCUGGCUCUCUGCAAGCUGUCCGGUGAGUCCUCGCGGCCCUUCUCCUG